rnacentral:rRNA from 1 species
GACAGAGGGUGCAAACGUUGCUCGGAAUCACUGGGCGUAAAGGGCGCGUAGGCGGAUGGCAUAGUCAGAUGUGAAAUUCCCGGGCUUAACCUGGGGACUGCAUUUGAUACGUGUCGUCUGAGUUCGGAAGAGGGUCGUGGAAUUCCUGGUGUAGCAGUGAAAUGCGUAGAUAUCGGGAGGAACACCAGUGGCGCAAGCGGCUGACUGGCCGAGACCUGACGCUGAGACGCGACGGCGUGGGGAGCAA